rnacentral:rRNA from 1 species
UACGUAGGUGGCAAGCGUUGUCCGGAUUUACUGGGCGUAAAGAGCGCGCAGGCGGUCGUUCAAGUCGCGUGUGAAAGCCCCCGGCUCAACUGGGGAGGGUCACGCGAUACUGAUCGACUCGAAGGCAGGAGAGGGUAGUGGAGUUCCCGGUGUAGUGGUGAAAUGCGUAGAUAUCGGGAGGAACACCAGUGGCGAAGGCGACUACCUGGCCUGUUCUUGACGCUGAGGCGCGAAAGCUAGGGGAGCAAACGGG